rnacentral:rRNA from 1 species
AACGAACGCUGGCGGCAGGCCUAACACAUGCAAGUCGAGCGCCCUUUCGGGGGAGCGGCGGACGGGUGAGUAACGCGUGGGAAUAUGCCCUUCUCUACGGAAUAGCCUCGGGAAACUGAGAGUAAUACCGUAUACGCCCUGUGUGGGAAAGAUUUAUCGGGGAAGGAUUAGCCCGCGUUGGAUUAGGUAGUUGGUGGGGUAAUGGCCUACCAAGCCGACGAUCCAUAGCUGGUUUGAGAGGAUGAUCAGCCACACUGGGACUGAGACACGGCCCAGACUCCUACGGGAGGCAGCAGUGGGGAAUCUUAGACAAUGGGGGCAACCCUGAUCUAGCCAUGCCGCGUGAGUGAUGAAGGCCUUAGGGUUGUAAAGCUCUUUCAGCUGGGAAGAUAAUGACGGUACCAGCAGAAGAAGCCCCGGCUAACUCCGUG